rnacentral:rRNA from 1 species
UGCAGUCGAACGGUAGCACAGAGGAGCUUGCUCCUUGGGUGACGAGUGGCGGACGGGUGAGUAAUGUCUGGGAAACUGCCCGAUGGAGGGGGAUAACUACUGGAAACGGUAGCUAAUACCGCAUAACGUCGCAAGACCAAAGAGGGGGACCUUCGGGCCUCUUGCCAUCGGAUGUGCCCAGAUGGGAUUAGCUAGUAGGUGGGGUAACGGCUCACCUAGGCGACGAUCCCUAGCUGGUCUGAGAGGAUGACCAGCCACACUGGAACUGAGACACGGUCCAGACUCCUACGGGAGGCAGCAGUGGGGAAUAUUGCACAAUGGGCGCAAGCCUGAUGCAGCCAUGCCGCGUGUAUGAAGAAGGCCUUCGGGUUGUAAAGUACUUUCAGCGAGGAGGAAGGCGUUGUGGUUAAUAACCGCAACGAUUGACGUUACUCGCAGAAGAAGCACCGGCUAACUCCGUGCCAGCAGCCGCGGUAAUACGGAGGGUGCAAGCGUUAAUCGGAAUUACUGGGCGUAAAGCGCACGCAGGCGGUCUGUCAAGUCGGAUGUGAAAUCCCCGGGCUCAACCUGGGAACUGCAUCCGAAACUGGCAGGCUAGAGUCUUGUAGAGGGGGGUAGAAUUCCAGGUGUAGCGGUGAAAUGCGUAGAGAUCUGGAGGAAUACCGGUGGCGAAGGCGGCCCCCUGGACAAAGACUGACGCUCAGGUGCG